rnacentral:snoRNA from 1 species
AUAGCACUUUCACAGUCCUCCCCAGGAGUGGGCCAGGAUUUGGUAGCUGGUGCCGAAAGAAAACCCUGAGUGCAUCCUUUUCCUGGGACUGUGCCAGUGGUAGCUGUCACUCAGUGGCACAGAG